AAUGAACGCUGGCGGCAUGCCUAACACAUGCAAGUCGAACGAAAAAUAAAGACGCAAGUUUUAUUUUUAGUGGCAAACGGGUGAGUAACACGUGAGAAUCUGCCUUUCGGAGGGGGAUAACUAAGGGAAACUUUAGCUAAUACCGCAUACGCUUAGCAAUAAGGAAAAAUUUAUUGCCGAAAGAUGAGCUCGCGUCAGAUUAGGUAGUUGGUAAGGUAAUGGCUUACCAAGCCUGUGAUCUGUAGCUGGUCUGAGAGGAUGAUCAGCCACACUGGGAUUGAGAUACGGCCCAG
rnacentral:rRNA from 1 species